AACGAACGCUGGCGGCAUGCCUAACACAUGCAAGUCGAACGAGACCUUCGGGUCUAGUGGCGCACGGGUGCGUAACGCGUGGGAACCUGCCCUUAGGUUCGGAAUAACUCCCCGAAGGGGGUGCUAAUACCGGAUAAUGUCUUCGGACCAAAGAUUUAUCGCCUUUGGAUGGGCCCGCGUUGGAUUAGCUAGUUGGUAGGGUAAAAGCCUACCAAGGCGACGAUCCAUAGCUGGUCUGAGAGGAUGAUCAGCCACACUGGGACUGAGACACGGCCCAGACUCCUACGGGAGGCAGCAGUGGGGAAUAUUGGACAAUGGGCGAAAGCCUGAUCCAGCAAUGCCGCGUGAGUGAUGAAGGCCUUAGGGUUGUAAAGCUCUUUUACCCGGGAUGAUAAUGACAGUACCGAGAGAAUAAGCUCCGGCUAACUCCGUG
rnacentral:rRNA from 1 species